GUUAAUUUUAGCAUAUUAUGCGGUCCGCAGCAGCGCUGGAUGGCGCAACACCCGCUGGCCGCAGGCCCUGAUUUGUUGGUACGCAACGACACGACUCGCGACAGUGAGACACCGCGAGCCCAGCCGGCAGACCUCAGCGCGGUUCCGCGCUAGACGAGGCCUGCUGCGCGUAAACACAGCAACAAGGCUCCCACACGGUGCCUAAAACAGGCAGAGUCCGGCAGAGCGAAACCGGGCCGAUCAGUUCGCAGCGAACGAGCCACAAAACUCGCAGACGGUGACCUGACGUCAAGGUACCGCACGAGUCGCUUACCUCACUCUACAAAUGUCGCCCUUUUUGCAACUUGUAAACAAAUCGUACGCGUCCAUGAUGUCGGCGUCUUCGGUCCUCUACGAUGCAUUGAGACGGCCUGUCUGCUUGACAGGAUAUGUUCAAAUUUGGCCUCCAUUAUAGCCAAUAGAAAGAAGGCCUAAAAAACGUGGGGGGUCCACCACCACCACUCACAGAGGCUGAAGAGAUGGCCCUCAGUCAAAAGAGUGGGCGACCUAUUACUGAAGGCAUCUCUGGAGGAGCUCAUCUGACCGCCCCCCCCCCCCCCCACCCCCAGGACACAAGGGCCUACAUCAGAGUUCCUGACGGUGUAAUCUGUCUGGCGGAGCCUUCUGCCAUAAUAGACCUCUAUGCAGCUGAAAUAAGCCUCGGCUGCACGCCAAGAGAGGGAGCGUGGCCUGUGGGAGAGCAGCACUCCAG